GGAGGCGUUACCUGCGGAGGGUUUGAGGAAGGCCCAGGAGCGAGCCCAUGGUCUUCCGACGCGGGGCCAGGGGCGGGCCCCAGGAUCCGGAGCUUCGGGGGGGCCGAGUCCGGGUUUGGGGCCCGGGAGGCGGGGCCAGUUAGGUCGAGGGUCCCUGGGAUCGUCGGGUCAGGCCUUGGGCUAACGUAGGCACUCUCGCAGUUCCUCCGCCUUCAGGAAGGUCUUUUUAGCAGGGGCCUUACGGGUGCAUGCUUCGGUCCUGGAGGACUUAGGCUAGCCUCCUCUCCAUCAGCGCCACCCGUCUGGGGCCCGAAAGGAGGGAGCUUUCCCUCUGUCCCCCAGCCUUUGGACUGUCACCAAACAAGCCAUUCGUUCACCAAAUACUUUUUAAGCGCCUACCAUGUGCCUGACAAGGGAUAUGUAACGGUGAGAAAAACUAGGUGUGGUCCAGGCCCUUCAGGGACUCAGGGGCUCGUGGAAGAAGUGGAUAUUGAAGUACUUAUCACACAAAGGAGGAUAAAAGUACGAUAGCGAUAUCUACCACGAAGCCCAGUAAAGGCGCCAUUCCCCAUUUUACAGCUGGGGAAACUGAG
rnacentral:lncRNA from 1 species